GACGAACGCUGGCGGCGUGCUUAACACAUGCAAGUCGAACGGAAAGGCCCUGCUUGCAGGGUACUCGAGUGGCGAACGGGUGAGUAACACGUGGGUGAUCUGCCCUGCACUUCGGGAUAAGCCUGGGAAACUGGGUCUAAUACCGGAUAGGAGCCAUUUUUAGUGUGAUGGUUGGAAAGUUUUUUCGGUGUAGGAUGAGCUCGCGGCCUAUCAGCUUGGUGGUGGGGUAAUGGCCUACCAAGGCGGCGACGGGUAGCCGGCCUGGGAGGGUGGACGGCCACAGUGGGACUGGGAGUCGGCCCAGACUCCUACGGGAGGCAGCAGUGGGGAAUAUUGCACAAGGGGCGCAAGCCUGAUGCAGCGACGCCGCGUGGGGGAGGACGGCCUUCGGGUUGUAAACUCCUUUCGCUAGUGACGAAGCUUUUUGUGACGGUACCUAGAGAAGAAGCACCGGCUAACUACGUG
rnacentral:rRNA from 1 species